UUGACCUCAAAUCAGGUAGGACUACCCGCUGAACUUAAGCAUAUCAAUAAGCGGAGGAAAAGAAACUAACAAGGAUUCCCCUAGUAACUGCGAGUGAAGCGGGAAAAGCUCAAAUUUGAAAUCUGGCAGUUCUUGACUGUCCGAGUUGUAAUCUAGAGAAGUGUUACCUGUGCAGGACCGUGUACAAGUCUCCUGGAAUGGAGCAUCAUAGAGGGUGAGAAUCCCGUCUUUGACAUGGACUACCUGUACAUUAUGGUGUGCUCUCGAAGAGUCGAGUUGUUUGGGAAUGCAGCUCAAAAUGGGUGGUAAAUGCCAUCUAAAGCUAAAUAUUGGCGAGAGACCGAUAGCGAACAAGUACCGUGAGGGAAAGAUGAAAAGAACUUUGGAAAGAGAGUUAAACAGUACGUGAAAUUGCUGAAAGGGAAACGCUUGAAGUCAGUCGCGUUGGCUAGAAAUCAACCUUUGCUUCUGCUUGGUGUACUUUCUGGUCGACGGGUCAGCGUCAAUUUCGGCCACCGGAUAAAGUCUUUGGGAAUGUGGCAUCUUAGGAUGUGUUAUAGCCCACUGUCGCAUACGGUGGUUGGGAUUGAGGAACUCAGCACGCCGCAAGGCCGGGUUUCGACCACGUUCGUGCUUAGGAUGCUGGCAUAAUGGCUUUAAUCGACCCGUC
rnacentral:rRNA from 1 species